rnacentral:rRNA from 1 species
GACGGACGCUGGCGGCGCGCCUAACACAUGCAAGCCGAACGAAGUUUAAGGGAGCUUGCUCCUUUAAACUUAGUGGCGGACGGGUGAGUAACACGUGAGCAACCUGCCUUUCAGAGGGGGAUAACGUUUGGAAACGAACGGUAAUACCGCAUAACAUACAAGAGUGGCAUCGCUUUUGUAUCAAAGGAGUAAUCCGCUGAAAGAUGGGCUCGCGUCCGAUUAGCUAGUUGGUGAGGUAAUGGCUCACCAAGGCAACGAUCGGUAGCCGGACUGAGAGGUUGAACGGCCACAUUGGGACUGAGACACGGCCCAGACUCCUACGGGAGGCAGCAGUGGGGAAUAUUGCACAAUGGGGGAAACCCUGAUGCAGCGACGCCGCGUGAGGGAAGAAGGUUUUCGGAUUGUAAACCUCUGUCUUUGGUGAAGAUAAUGACGGUAGCCAAAGAGGAAGCCACGGCUAACUACGUGCCAGCAGCCGCGGUAAUAC